UAUCUUCGGGGCGGGGUGCGAUUCCCCACCGGCAGUGAGAGUCUGCGAGCCGCAAGGCUGAACCGGUGCAAUUCCGGUACCGACGGUAUAGUCCGGAUGUGAGAGGAU
rnacentral:ncRNA from 1 species